rnacentral:lncRNA from 10 species
GUUAUUUCAAGAAUAUCAUUUACAAACCCUUGAAAUAAAAUCACAGUUCAUGUUACUUCAGCUACUGGGAUAGUCAAGAGUUCUAUCAAAUUCUGCUUUUCGAGCAUGAUUCUUUAAAAAAAUGUUUUUUGUGGGUACACAGUAGGUGUAUAUAUAAAAAUGUUUUCUGUGGGUACACAGUAGGUGUAUAUAUAAAAAUGUUUUUUGUGGGUACACAGUAGGUGUAUAUAUAAGCAUAUGAUUCUUAAAAAAAAGAAAAAUAGAGUUGAUAUCAGAUAUCAGAAAUAUAUAAUCUCUGCUCC